rnacentral:rRNA from 1 species
GACGAACGCUGGCGGCAUGCCUAACACAUGCAAGUCGAACGGGACGUUCGGGUCUAGUGGCGCACGGGUGCGUACCGCGGGGGAACCUGCCCUUGGGUUCCGAAUCACUCCCCGAAAGGGGUGCUAAUACCGGUUAAUGUCUUCGGACCAAAGAUUUAUCGCGUUUGGAUGGGCGCGCGUUGGAUUAGCUAGUUGGUAGGGUAAAAGCCUACCAAGGCGGUGGUCCAUAGCUGGUCUGAGAGGAGGAUCAGCCACACUGGGACUGAGACACGGCCCAGACUCCGACGGGAGGGAGCAGAGGGGAAUAGUGGGCAAUGGGCGAAAGCCUGAGCCAGCAAUGCGGCGUGAGUGAGGAAGGGGUUAGGGUUGUAAAGCUCUUUUAGCCGAGAGGAUAAUGACGGUACCGGGAGAAGAAGCUCCGGCUAACUCCGUG